AUUGCAAACCACAUAAGGAAAUGAUGUGCCGUUAGCGAAAGUCAGCAAACAGAGCAGACUAGUUUAGCAUUCUAAUAACAUACAAAAAUACAGCAGUCUGAAAGGGACUUUAAAAUAACUGUGUUUAAAAUGAUUAUAAAGGCAAAAAAAAAAAAAAAACCCAUAAAGAAAGGAUAGGCUAUUUUGAAAGAGAACAGAGAAAUUUGCAAAAAGAACCAAAUGGAACUUUCCAGAAAUGGAAAAAACAAAAGGUCAUUGAAAUAAAAGCUCAGUGGAUGUGUCAAACAUCAGGUUAGACAAAGCUGAACAGAGAUUUAGUGAACUGAAAGGCAGAUCAGGGAAAUUGCCCCCCAAAGCAGCACAGGCAGAUAAGGAGAGAGAAAACACGAAAGAGAAGCUAAGAGGCCUGGAAGGCAAAGCAAGAAGGUCCAAACUUCCCUGCAGAGAGAUGCAGAAGGAGAAGAACAGAGAGAAUGGGGGACUGGCAACGCUCCAUUUUCCCAAAUGGAUGGGAGACAUUCAUCCUGAGAUUAAAGAAAUGUUCGGAGUUCUGAGAAGGACCCACAAAAACAAACCCACGUUCAGAUAAGUUGCAGGGAAACUGGAUUCAAAGAAGCACAAGCAAGUGUAUAAUUUUUCCCAGGAAUGUCAGAAAGUUCAUGGAUCACUGGGGCUUGAAGGCUGUGUAGAAUCUUAAGAGGCAGAGAAUAUGGUGAGGCUGUCAAGGAGAUCUAAGAAGUAGUAGGAACACAUGAGAUUCCAGCCUGUUGGACUAGUUUCUGAACAAGUUUUAACACAACUUGUUUUGAAUUAAGUUACCUAGACUCUGGACACCUGUUUGUUACCUGAGGGUUUCAAGGGACCCUCCCCUGCUCUGUGUCUUCACUUCAGCCUGGCCUUUGAUCCUCCUGUUCGGGUCCCCUGCUCUGUCUCUGAGAUCCACCACGAUUCCACAGCCCUGGGAAGAAGGUCUUUUUCUGAGAUCACUCAUAACCGUCUUGCCCUUUGAGCCUCCCCGCUUCUUGGGGCUGGGUUGAAAUUGGACUAUCAAACCUUCCUCCUGUCUCCUUGGUGUCCUUUGGGAAAUAGAAAGCCCCUGCUCUGAAGUGGACAGCAGGGGCUGGCCCCACUGCAUCUGUGCCUUGUUAGCGGGGCCAGUGGCUUCAGAGGAACAGAAAAACCUGCCUGUGGUAAUUGGCUCAUGAAAGCUGCGUGUUGCUGGAGGGGGUGGGCGGGUCUGGUGAGGAAGGGGAGCAGGCUUAAUGGGAAGCAAAUGUGAGAGAAGAGCCUCGUGCAGACCCUCCCCCAAUUCAUGGCCAUUAGCAUUCCUCAGACACCUGCAGGCACUUGGUCCUGGCUGUGGAUAGGAUGUGCUGGCUCCUUCCUGCUGGCGCGCAGAACAGAAAGAUGAAGUUUGGUUCCAAUUAACAGGGGCAGGGAGCAGGGGUGGACGUGAGACGGGAGAUCUCUUCUUUCUUGUGUCUUUUGAGAGUAUGAUUUGAUUUUUUGGGAGAUUUUAUCUGGCAGUUGUUGAAUUCUGCCCCACCUUAUGGUUGUAUGUGGUGUCAGGGAGAGAGCACUGGGCUUUGGGAUCAGAUGAACCUAGGUCUGAAGACCCGAUGAGCCCUAUCCUGGCUUUGUGACCGUAGGAAAAGUUCUGAAUCUCUGUAGUCCUCAGCCUCCUCCUCUGUAAGAACAAUAAAGGAAUAAUACCUACCAAACAGGGCUACUGUAAGGAAUACGUAAGGUAGACCCCUCCAAGGCGCCUAGCAGAGUACUUUCUAGGACACAAGCACUCCAAAAAUAGAAUUUUCUUUAUCCCUGGAUUGUAAAUCCCUUUAGGGAAGGAUGGCAUCUUGUCCAUCUUUGUAACCCCUGAGGUCACUACUACAGUGCCAGGCAGACGAAGCCGACUGUUGAGUAUGUUAAGGAGUGAAUGCCCUACACACUGAGCGCCCCCUGCCCGCUGGUACAGGUCAAAGUUCAGCUCAAGAAGCCUGAGAUGCCAGGAAGGAAAAAAAUUGAGUCCCUGACAUCAUUACAAUGAGCAUGUGGCAAACUGGUGAACAACCAGUAGGAGAGCAACACGUGUUUCCUUGAGGCCACUUGAAGAACUUCAUCUGGUUACUGGGGGACUCUAGGUCUGUCUUGCAGGGAGGGAGCUGUGGCUGGGAAGUAGGACACUGCCCUGCCCGGGGACCCAGCCUGGCCGGGGAAGAAGGGCGUCCCUUUUCGACUUCUCCCAGCCGGUGCAGAUACCCUGCUGGGAUCAGGCUGGAGGAGGGCGAAAUGGUCUCUGGGGCUGGCGCCCCUCCAGCCAUGGAGGCCUUUGGCGGGGGCUCCUCUCCACCUGCUCUCCAGCUGCUGCUGGUGGAGGCCCGGUCGGCUGCGGCAUCCUCCAUGCAUCUUUAAUCUGUCAUGCCUUGGUGCCAAACAUCUGUAGCGUAGAUCUACUGGCCGUUUAUUUUCUGUUUGUCUUGGGUGUGACACAAUCUCCCUUCUUCACUUCAAUGACUCCUCUCUUCAUUAUUACUGUCUCAGCCACUCUGUUUAUUUGCUUUCCCCCAGCCCCAGCCACUUUCCCUCUCUUCUCCCAGAUUGACGGGGACCCUGCCAGCCCUCCCUGCUUCCCUUUCUCCCCAGCUCUGGACUCUCUCCUCUGCUGUCCCAGGGCCCUGCUCUCCCUGCUGGGAACCUCACUCAAACCAGAUGUGGCUUCCUCCUCCUCUUCCUCCUUCUUUCCCUGAUUUGCCAAGGGCUGCCGGGGGCAGGGGGGAGGAAAGCCUCCCCACCCACUUCCUGCUCCCCCUCCUCUGCUUCUCUGCCCAGCUCCGCGGCCCCCGUCAAAGGGCGGCGAGCAGCGCACGACAGGACGUGUGUUUGGUGCCAAUGGUGAGGCGUGGUGGGCCAUUCUGGGCAGGAAUCUUACCCCUGGGAGCUUAGCCAGCGGGAGCCUUGAUCCCUCCUGCAACACAGCUGCCCUAGAAGAGUCUGGGCACAACUGCUGACGUUAAAUAUCCCAAACUCUUUGACCGUGGAUUGUAUCAAGGCCUCUCUGCCUAAGCAUCGCCCGAUUAGCAACAUCUCACAACUGGUUCGUCCUUAUGGGCUAUGGAAGGGCCUUAGUUCCAAAGCCUCAGCCACCCUCUCCGUGGCCCUGGGGUGCAGGGUCAUCGGCCGCUCACGACAGAGAAGUCUCAGCUCCGGCAUGGCUCAAUGAUGAAGGCCAAGUAAAGAUCUGACCUCACGUCUGGUCUGAUGUGAAGAAUGGCUGAUUAGCUUAAAAUUUGGGGCCGCCUUUCUCCACCUGGCUCCUUCUGACCCUGUUCCAACACGUGGAAAUGCGUCUACUUUGACAAUUAAAGCCCAGGUUUGGAGGUAACAGCCAGCCUGGGGCACAGCUCUCUGUUUCUGGAAUCCUUUCUACCUCUGGCCACGAUGGGCAUGGGAGUUUGACCUCUGAGAUGACCGCAGUGACUGUUAGCGGUGCAUUAUAGCUCUCACUGGGCAAAGAACAUUGGAUUGUACGAGGAGUGGGGGAUGUAAGAGAAACUGGAGACGGCCUGUCACCAGAAGGAGGGUGUGACAAAGGCUUAAGACCCUAUAAAAAAUCACCAGUCAACUAGCUCAGCCAGGGGCCAGGCCGGGUCUUUGGGGGCCUGAUCGUUUAUUAUGUGGCGGUUAGGCUCUCUUUAAGUAAAAGAACUCACAAGUAUGAACACAGAAUUACCAGGGCCCCUCCCAGGGCCUUGCAACGAGCCCGUGCAAAGAUCUUUCAGUUCUUGGAAAAUCCGCCCCAAAGAUAGCUUGAGUACAUAGGUGGAUUCUCAGUGAAAGCUUUGUUUGGAACAGAUCAGGACAGUGGUUCUCUCCCUUAGUGGGCCCAAGGCACACAUGGAGCAUGUGUUAAAAUGUGGGCCCUGCCUCACCCCCAGAAUCCCUGCUUCCAUGAUCUGGGUGGAGACUAUGAACCUGUAUUUUAACUUGGAGUCGUCCAGAGGAUUCUGAUCCUGGACACCUGGGGAUUAAACUCCAGGAAGUACUGGUCCAGCCAACCCUGUCACCAGGAAGUGAUGGUGGAGAACGGAAGAGCCUUGCUACAGUCACAGAGCCAGUCGGCAGAGCUGAGAUCUGGGGCCUGCGCACCCCGCUCCAGGUUCUUUCAGCUGGACUCACUCCUGGUCAGACUGCACUUCCUGAAGAAGCCCCGCGGAUCUGAAAGGGAGACAGGGGCUGCCUGAUGGGGAAGAUCAAGUGGCCUUUGAAAACCUCUCUUGGAGUUUAUUAAACCCCGGGGCCAAGGCAGGCCGACCUGGAGGCCCAGCCAGGCCUGGCUCCGCCCACCGGGCUCCCCGUGAGGAACCUGGCCGGUUCUCCUGUCUCAAACUUGGCAGGUCUACACGAGGGACAGGGAGCCGGUCCUGGAGGAACCAGAGUGAACACACACAUCUUCUUUCAGAAGAUGAGUGGGGGAUGCGAGGGCAGGAGCCUGGGCCGGGGUGCAGAUGAUGCAGAUGAUGCAGCCUUCUCUCCCCAGGCCGGCCCGGAGGACACCGCCUGCCUCCUGCUGGAACUCUUCACUCGGGGACCCCUCCAAAGCGUCUGUGCUAAAGGUCCGCACAGAGGAAUCGGAAGGUCUCUAAUCUGGAUCACUGCUCACUGCCCAAGGAAGGGCGGGAAUGAGGCUUCUCGGAGCAAGCCUCGGUUUCUGGGAUCUGGAGCCCCGCAGAGACGGAGAGGCAGGAGAUCACACCAGCUGAUGCUCAGUUUGCCCCCAACCUCAACUCCAGAGGGGCUGGUCCGCGCUGAGACAGCUCACAGGAGGGGCCCAGGAAGGUCGACAUUCAGCUCAGAAAACUCCGGUGAAAGUGCUCUGUAAACUGCGAAGCCUGGAGCCUAUGGAAAGCAGAGUUGUGGCGGACCUGCUUAUUUCACAAAUACUUACCGAGGGCCUUCCACGUGCCGGACGCUCUUCCAGACGCUGGGCAGGAGGAGGGAGCAAAGCAGCGGCUGUGUUAGUGAGCGGACGGGGAGCGGCCGCUCUGGAACCAACACGCUGGUGACCCCAGGCAGUAACUGCACUCCUCUGAGCCCAGGGAGGGGAAGGAAGGGGCAGGACCAGGAGGGAACCACAUCUGAGCAGAGCAGCUCCCUUUCAUCACUUCACAUCCUGGGAUUCGGCGUCCGAUUUCUUUUGAAAAGACAGUUCUGCCGAUUUAAAAGGUUGAAAACCAUCCAUCAAGUCUCCCCACCCCCUAUUUGAAUCUUUUUUGCCUUGUUUCAUUGCCAGUGCCCCCUUCCCAAGUCAUUUCUAGGCUCUCUUCUUCCUCCUCCCUAUACCCCUCGCCCAGAGGAGACUGCUCUCUCCCAAGCCAGCCUUAGGAUUUGGAAUCCAAUCUGUCUCGGUCCCUUUCUAAAACGCGCGCCCUUCAAACAAGUUCAAAGCCGUUUCAAGUUUUUCCUGAGUCUCUUUCUCGAUAACUGUAGAGAAUAAACAGAUGGUGCCAGUCUGAAGAUGUAAAGCUGGAGUUCAAAGUCAUAUAUGGUAACUGUCCCUGGACUUUGAAUGGAUUGCAAGGUGUGAGAAAUGGCCCUACUGCCCCUAUGCUGUAGAGGUCUUCCUCCAGGGCCCAGGCGGCUAACAGGCAAGUUUGAAGCACUCACCUCCCAAGUUAAGGCUAGCCCUCGUGUCCUGUUGGAAUUACAGACUAGCGCCUUGUCCUAUGGGUCUAGGAGGCCACGAAAGACAUGGUUUGGGCAGCGAUGCUGGCAGUCCCUUUAGACAGGCACUUGUGGAACCAGACACCAACCAAAUCCGGCUAGCAGAGAGAUUCCAGCUCAUGUACCAACCCUUUCCGAUGCGGGGUGGCCGCCUGGAGUGCUCUGUUUAGACAGAUCCCGAGACUGUGUUGUUGUUAUUAUUAUGAGAGUGUUAUUAUUGACUUGUGAUGUCUGCCAGGAGCAUGAGCUGGAGGCGUGGUAGAAUCCAUGAUGCUCUUCUCACUCCAGAACCAAAGGAAGAGAGGGGAGGGUUAUGAAGCUUAUGCUGAUCAUAUUUUUUUCUGCACAAAAAAUAUGAGAACAAAUGAUCUGACAGCAAGCCAGAAUAUCUGAAUUUGGGAACUGUGCCCAAAAGUU